rnacentral:rRNA from 1 species
AAUAGAUACCCCUGGUAGUCCACGCCCUAAACGAUGAUUACUCGUCAUUGGCGAUACACAGUCAGUGACCAAGCGAAAGCGUUAAGUAAUCCACCUGGGAAGUACGACCGCAAGGUUGAAACUCAAAGGAAUUGACGGGGGUCCGCACAAGUGGUGGAGCAUGUGGUUUAAUUCGAUGAUACGCGAGGAACCUUACCUGGGCUAGAAUGUGAGUGACCGGUGGUGAAAGCCACUUUUCCGCAAGGACACGAAACAAGGUGCUGCAUGGCUGUCGUCAGCUCGUGCCGUGAGGUGUUGGGUUAAGUCCCGCAACGAGCGCAACCCCCAUCUUCAGUUGCCAUCAUUAAGUUGGGCACUCUGGAGAAACUGCCGCCGUAAGGCGCGAGGAAGGAGGGGACGAUGUCAAGUCAUCAUGGCCUUUAUGCCCAGGGCUACACACGUGCUACAAUGGUAAGGACAAAGGGCAGCUACCUGGCGACAGGAUGCGAAUCUCAAAAACCUUAUCUCAGUUCGGAUUGCAGG